rnacentral:rRNA from 1 species
UAAUACGAAGGGGGCAAGCGUUGUUCGGAAUGACUGGGCGUAAAGGGCGUGUAGGUGGUUAGAUGCGUCUGGUGUGAAAGUCCUGGGCUUAACCUGGGGAUUGCACUGGAUACGGUUUAACUAGAGCGUGAGAGGGGAAAACGGAAUUGCGGGUGGAGAGGUGAAAUUCGUAGAGAUCCGCAGGAACAUCGAUGGCGAAGGCGGUUUUCUGGCUCAUGGCUGACACUGAGGCGCGAGAGCGUGGGGAGCAAACAGG